rnacentral:lncRNA from 1 species
CACGCCCAGCUAAUUUUUGUUAUUUUUAGUAGAGAUGGGGUUUCAUCAUGUUGGUCAGGCUGGUCUCGAACUCCUGACCUCAUGAUCCGCCCAGGCAUGGUAGCCUUGUUUUAAUCUCUUGAAAGAACCCCACUCUGCCGAAGAGUGUAGCAGAAUGUGGCAGUAUGGGCUGUACCACUAGAGUAGGCCAGGAAGGGCCUGCAGCAUCAGUAUCACCUGGGAGCUGCUAGAAAUGCAGAAUCCCAGUGUGAGCCACUGUGCCUGGCUUCAUUCUUCUACUUACAUAUAUAAAAAAUAAGUUGGUCUGGGGCAGUGGUUCAUGCCUGUUAUCNNNNNNNNNNNNNNNNNNNNNNNNNNNNNNNNNNNNNNNNNNNNNCCUGGUAGAGGAUACCAAUAGUAUCUGUGUUCACAGUCAGCUAUGCUAUGUUUCAUGUUGACUAACAAAGGGCAUCCUUGCAUCUUUUUAUCGUGAAGUGUCUGUUCAGUCUUUUUCUCAUUUUUAAUUGUAUGGUUCUUUUUCUUUUUUAAGUGAUAGAAAGGACUGACUUUUUAGUCACUGUUUUUACAGUUCAAUAAUUCGGUAUCUCUUUUCCUAUCUACAUGUUACCAUUCAGAACUUAGGUGGAUGAAACAUAAUUUAUAUGUAGUUACAGAGAGAUACAGAACUAAAAGCCUACAGAUACAAGCAUUAGAAUUGUGACGGGGGUAAUUAGAAACAUGGACUCUGAAGGUAGCCUAUCUGGGUUCAAAUCUCAGCUCCAGUACUUAGCCAUGUGGCCUUAGGCAAGUUAUUUAAACUGACUUAUUUUCUUCCUCUGUAAGAUGAGAGUAACAAUAAUACCAACCUCAUAAGGUUGUUGGGAAAAUUACAUGUGUUCCUGCAUAUGAAGUGCUUAGGACAGUGCCUGAAAUACAGUCCUAUAUAAAUGUUAUAAUUUAUGAUUAUUGUUGUGAUGAUAAUGAUGAUAAUAUUACUAGCAGCUCCUCUGAAACUUGUUGGCCUCAUCCAAGGCCUA